GGCUCUACCAAUCAGCAAGAUGUGGGUGGGGCCAGAUAAGAGAAUAAAAGCAGGCUGCCCGAGCUUGCAUUAGUAACUCGCUCGGGUCCCCUUCCGGAUUGUGGAAACUUUGUUCUUUCGCUGUAUGUAAUAACUCUUGCUACUGUAGCUCGCUUUUUGGGUCUACGCUGCUUCUAUAAGCUGUAACAUUCACAGGGAAGAUCUGCAGCUUCACUCCUGAGACCACGAGCCCACUGGAAAGAACAAACAACUCCCGAAGUGCUACCUUAUAGAGCUAUAACACUCACCGCGAAGGUCUGCAGCUUCACUCCUGAGCCAGGGAGACCACAAACCCACCAGAAGGAAAAAACUCCGAAUACAUCUGAACAUCAGGAGGGACAGACUCCAGACGGGCCACCUGAAAAGCUGUAACACUCACCGUGAGGGUCCGGGGCUUCAUUCUUGAAGUUAGUGAGACCAAGAACCCACCAAUUCGGGACACACUUGGACCAUCCGCUUCCCAGGAAGCGUCAGCCCUGGGGUGCCCAUGCCCAGAAGCCCACUCCAGCCCUGAUAGUCGCCUCCCAGCUGAGCCAGGAACCUGGGGCUGAGCUCCAUCCUCAACCUUAAAAACUUGUCAUCUCACCUGUCCCGAGGAUGUGCGGUACCUGCCCUACUUCUACCAUCCUCACCCUACUCUUUUCCUGGGCUAGCGUUAUGAUGUCUAAACCUAUCUAUCAUCCCGUUCUGUGCUCUGUAUAUUCAUUUUCCACAUAACGUAAAAUGUAGGUCUGGCUAAGCCCCCUCCACAUGGACAACGUGGGCCCUACUCUCCACAGACUCCAGCCACCUGCGACCCCUUCUGCCUCAUGCUACGUGUGAUCACAGCCUUUUCUCCUGUUGCUAUCCUGACCGAGAUGCUCCUCUAACAAGCUUGUCCACCCUUUCACACCCCUCAGCACACGCCCUGGCUUCAUAUGGCCGCCUGGUACCCUCCCUGCCGUUUCUGCCCAGAUCUGUUCUGUGCCCAGCAGGUGUUAUUGGCUUCAUCUACUUGCAGGUCUGUCCUUACUAACUGGAACACCCCCGAGGGCAGGAACGGUUUACCCCAGCAUGGAGCACAGUUCCGGGGCCCUAGGAGGAGCUCAGAGGACCUGUGGGAAAUGUUCCCAUGGGCAAUGACUCCCUGAAUGUAACGUCGUAUGUCACCUUGGAGGGAAAGACCCCAUAAAAACCUAAUCAUAUUCAAGGGAAAGGAGCUUGGCUUUCCUGGGUACAGCCUAAUGGUGUUGGUGACUGGGGUAGGAAGGGGACUCAGCUUCUAUUGUAUCAUGUUCUCGUCGAUUCCUCCUUAUCCUGACUGUGAGCCCGAGAGGGCAGGGACCAAGGUCCUAAUGUAUCCCAGCGGAGCGUACACAUAGUAGAUGGAGUCCGAGAGGGAGCAUGCACCAGUCUACUACCUAGACCCCUUGGCAGAACUUUUCCUAGAUGUGCAAGGCAAACUAAGACUGCUGAAGCUGAACUGCACUGACAAUCCAUUGGACCUGAACUCUCCCCACCACUCUGCUCAGACAUCCCCAGAACAAUGAAAUCCCAAGUGGCAGGAGAGCAGAGGCCUUGUGGGCACUCACAGAUGCACAUUCCAUAUGCCUUUCUGGAAGAAAGAACUCAGCUCUCUAGGAAGGAG
rnacentral:lncRNA from 10 species